rnacentral:rRNA from 1 species
GACGAACGCUGGCGGCGUGCUUAACACAUGCAAGUCGAACGGAAAGGCCCUGCUUUUGUGGGGUGCUCGAGUGGCGAACGGGUGAGUAACACGUGAGUAACCUGCCCUUGACUUUGGGAUAACUUCAGGAAACUGGGGCUAAUACCGGAUAGGAGCUCCUGCUGGAUGGUGGGGGUUGGAAAGUUUCGGCGGUUGGGGAUGGACUCGCGGCUUAUCAGCUUGUUGGUGGGGUAGUGGCUUACCAAGGCUUUGACGGGUAGCCGGCCUGAGAGGGUGACCGGCCACAUUGGGACUGAGAUACGGCCCAGCCUCCUACGGGAGGCAGCAGUGGGGAAUAUUGCACAAUGGGCGGAAGCCUGAUGCAGCAACGCCGCGUGCGGGAUGACGGCCUUCGGGUUGUAAACCGCUUUCGCCUGUGACGAAGCGUGAGUGACGGUAAUGGGUAAAGAAGCACCGGCUAACUACGUG